rnacentral:rRNA from 1 species
ACGGGGGAUGCGAGCGUUAUCCGGAUUUAUUGGGUUUAAAGGGCGCGUAGGCGGGACGUCAAGUCAGCGGUAAAAGACUGCAGCUAAACUGUAGCACGCCGUUGAAACUGGCGCCCUGGAGACGAGACGAGGGAGGCGGAACAAGUGAAGUAGCGGUGAAAUGCAUAGAUAUCACUUGGAACCCCGAUAGCGAAGGCAGCUUCCCAGGCUCGUUCUGACGCUGAUGCGCGAGAGCGUGGGUAGCGAACAG